GUAUUGAUCCACCCCCUCUCUUCCGUCGACGCAAAGCCUGAUACGGUGACGGGAGUUGUUCCGAAAGGAAUUGGUGCAAAGCCAGAAAGAGUGACGGAGGAGUUGCACAAAAUUGGUGCAACCCCCUAAAUUUCGGGUGACAGAGGAAUUGGUCCCAGCCAGGUGAGUAGAUUUUCUUUUGCUUAUAGUUGUUUAAUUUUAUUGCAUCCAUUCUUCUCUAAAACUGUUUCAUUCACGCACGCCGACGGACUGAGUGUAGAAACAGAAGUCUGGAUCUGGAAUAUGGAGGACUCAUAGACGUGUGGUGGUCGAUGACUCGACGGCCGACGUGUUGAGUCUGUCAGUAAAGGGGGGUUGAGUCUGUCAGUAAAGUGGGGAGAAGGAGGAGAGGAGAGAGUGCAGGGACGAUUCGAGAGAUGUGUUGAGUCUGUUGACAGAGCGGAGGAGGAGAGGAGAGAACGCAGAAACGAUUCGAGAGGCCUGAGUUUGAGAGAGAGAGUGCAGACUCUGGGUGAUACGAGAUAGUGACCCAACGGUUGGAUUUAAUCUCAACAGAAUCCAACGCUUACAAUUUAUUCUAAUAUAUAUAAUUAUAAGAAUAUAUAUAUCGGUUCGGGACUUACCGAACAUUUGGCAAACAGAUCCCAAUUCCCAACCGAAAUUCGAGGAUUUUUUGGGUAUGGAUUAUUGAAUUUUUCGGAAUUUUUUGUUUUGGGAUUUUUUAAUUUUGGGUUCAGGAUAGGGGAGAAAUAUGUAGAUAUAUGAAUUGAUAGGCUUUUGUGGAAUUGAAUUAGUGCCCAUGUGAUUCUUGUUUCGUUUUAAUAUUUCUGUGUAAUAAAUAAAUGAGAAAUAUGUAGAUAUAUGAAAGAAAUGAGGAAUAAAAAAUAGUGAAGAUACAAUAUGCGAAUGAAACGGGGUCUUGAAUAAG
rnacentral:lncRNA from 1 species